rnacentral:ncRNA from 1 species
UUCGAGAGAGACCGCUGGAUAAGGCGGCGCCGAAGGGGCCAAAAACUCUCAGGCAAAAGUAUCGAAUC